AGAUUAAUUCAAGAGCAACGAUUGAUAGAUAAAGAUUAAAUUCUCCACAAAUUCACCUUCAAAUCAAAAGCAUUAGUUCAUGAGUUUCUGAAUAUCCACUUUUUGUUAACUUUCAUUGUGCUUGAAGGUCCAUGUCUUCAUAUGGUUAUCUGUGAACUAAAUGCUAACCAUGAAAUUAUGAUUCCACGCUGUGGAGACUAUGUCACACCUCAACCAACCUAUCAAGCCCCUGCCCCCUAAAAAAUUCUUCUUUAUCCAUACCACUAUUAUGCACAUUUUACACAAACAUAAUUUGUUACUCAUAGAACAAUAAAAAAUUACUUCCAAGUUGAGGUUUCCCUACUAAUUAACUGAUCAAAAGAGAAGCAGCAACUAUCACAUUUAUGCUACCAAGUAUAGUCUUCUAGUUCCUGAAAUUUAUCAUAUAUUGCUAUUAGUUAUAUCAUUGAACCUACUAAUUAACUGAUCAAAAGAGAAGCAGCAACUAUCACAUUUAUGCUACCAAGUAUAGUCUUCUAGUUCCUGGCAUUUAUCAUAUAUUGCUAUUAGUUAUAUCGUUGAAUUAUAUACUAUUACAGCACCCUUUGCAUUAACAAAAUAUUAAAUAUUUUUCAACACAAAUUCAAUUUAUAUUAAUGAAUAAUUCUUUCUUGCAGAGUCAAAAUUUCUUGACAAACUUGAAGACAGUUUUAUGGUUGCAGUCCUUCUCAAAGUAACUAGCUGGGAAAAAAAGCCUUACUGUUAACAGAAAAACAUGAAGUUAACAAGGAUUUU
rnacentral:lncRNA from 1 species